CCUACGGGGGGCAGCAGUGAGGAAUAUUGGUCAAUGGGCGCGAGCCUGAACCAGCCAAGUCGCGUGAGGGAAGACGGUCCUAUGGAUUGUAAACCUCUUUUGUCGGGGAGCAAAAGACGCCACGCGUGGCGUUCCGAGAGUACCCGAAGAAAAAGCAUCGGCUAACUCCGUGCCAGCAGCCGCGGUAAUACGGAGGAUGCGUGCGUUAUCAGGAUUUAUUGGGUUUAAAGGGUGCGCAGGCGGAAGAUCAAGGCAGCGGUAAAAUUGAGAGGCUCAACCUCUUCGAGCCGUUGAAACUGGUGUUCUUGAGUGAGCGAGAAGUAUGCGGAAUGCGUGGUGUAGCGGUGAAAUGCAUAGAUAUCACGCAGAACUCCGAUUGCGAAGGCAGCAUACCGGCGCUCAACUGACGCUCAUGCACGAAAGUGUGGGUAUCGAACAGGAUUAGAUACCCUAGUAGUC
rnacentral:rRNA from 1 species